GACGAACGCUGGCGGCGUGCCUAAUACAUGCAAGUUGAGCGAUGAAGAUUGGUGCUUGCACCAAUUUGAAGAGCAGCGAACGGGUGAGUAACGCGUGGGGAAUCUGCCUUUGAGCGGGGGACAACAUUUGGAAACGAAUGCUAAUACCGCAUAACAACUUUAAACAUAAGUUUUAAGUUUGAAAGAUGCAAUUGCAUCACUCAAAGAUGAUCCCGCGUUGUAUUAGCUAGUUGGUGAGGUAAAGGCUCACCAAGGCGAUGAUACAUAGCCGACCUGAGAGGGUGGUCGGCCGCAUUGGGACUGAGACACGGCCCAACCGCCUACGGGAGGCAGCAGUAGGGAAUCUUCGGCAAUGGACGGAAGUCUGACCGCGCCAAGCCGCGUGCGUGAAGAAGGUUUUCGGAUCGUAAAACUCUGUUGGUAGAGAAGAACGUUGGUGAGAGUGGAAAGCUCAUCAAGUGACGGUAACUACCCAGAAAGGGACGGCUAACUACGUG
rnacentral:rRNA from 1 species